rfam:Clostridium baratii str. Sullivan, complete genome.
CGUAAAAACAAAUAUGGUAUCCAUAUAUUUCUGAUAAUAAGGUUCAGAUGUUUCUACGAGAAAACCAUAAAUUUUCUCGCUAUGGGUAAAUCAUACAAGAGA